ACUCACCUUAGUUUGUUUAAAUGUGUAACUUUCUCCGACUUUCUAGGACGUGUUUUAUGCCACUUCUUUUUCUGUCCUUGUCCACCAAACUUUUAAUGUUGUGCGUGAAUGCACAAAGACACGUUUAUCCAAGAGGAGACUGAGGGCGGCGGGAGAAACUGAGCCGAGAGUCAAUGCUGCAGCAACGAGGGAACUUGGGGUGCGUCUUGUUGAUGGCGUGCGACGCAGCGUUGACGGCGUGUGCCAGCUCCUGCUCUAAGAGCCCGUUGGUCUUAGCGGCCUCGCAUAUCCUGCAGUGCCAACACAGACGUGAAGUGACCUGGUGAUGAGCUCCUCUGCGGCGCGGGCGCACAGCUGCACCACGGCGGCCUCCUCCUCCGAGGCCAGGUCCACAGACUGCUGCGAGUAGAGGUGAGGCCGCAGGGGAGGCUUGUCGUACUUCAGCUUGUCCUCCCACGACUUGAGCGUGUUCUCGAAGGCCUGCAGGGGGGCGGCAGAGGAGGCAAUGCCACCGUGUUCCAGAAGCACGGCAGCAGAAGACGGCGUUUGCUCACCCGGUCUCUGGUGAGCAUCUGGGCUCUGUUCUUGUGCUGGAGCUUGAUGACUCCAGGCGGCUGGAUCCACGCCUCGCCGUCCACCUGGAUGGGAACGCCCUCG